AGUGAACGCUGGCGGUAGGCCUAACACAUGCAAGUCGAACGGCAGCACAGGAGAGCUUGCUCUCUGGGUGGCGAGUGGCGGACGGGUGAGGAAUACAUCGGAAUCUACUUUUUCGUGGGGGAUAACGUAGGGAAACUUACGCUAAUACCGCAUACGACCUACGGGUGAAAGCAGGGGAUCUUCGGACCUUGCGCGAUUGAAUGAGCCGAUGUCGGAUUAGCUAGUUGGCGGGGUAAAGGCCCACCAAGGCGACGAUCCGUAGCUGGUCUGAGAGGAUAAUCAGCCACACUGGGACAGAGACACGGUCCAGACUCCUACGGGAGGCAGCAGUGGGGAAUAUUGGACAAUGGGCGCAAGCCUGAUCCAGCCAUACCGCGUGGGUGAAGAAGGCCUUCGGGUUGUAAAGCCUUUUUGUUGGGAAAGAAAUCCAGCUGGUUAAUACCCGGUUGGGAUGACGGUACCCAAAGAAUAAGCACCGGCUAACUUCGUGCCAGCCGCCGCAGUAA
rnacentral:rRNA from 1 species